rnacentral:lncRNA from 1 species
UGUUGAAGAGAUUGUUUUUGGUGAAGUUUAGAUUAAGAUAGAACCUAUGUGAAAAGAGGGCUUCAAUGCGUUUUGCGUACUUGGUAGUAUGGUGUUAGAGUUUUGGAAUUAUAAUUAAGUAGAAUAAGAGAGAGAGAGAGAUAAAAUGUUUUCUUGGAAGAGGAUGGAACUCUAAUAAUAUUGUAAUUUUGUUGUUUGGAAUGCAAGUUAUUCUAAGAGCCC